CCGUAUCAAUUAUUUACACCGUAUGCGUGCCUCUGAUAACGCAGCGUGGCUGCAGCGGGCUGGGCGGGAGCGCACCGCAUCGCCGAGCCGCAGGAGCACCCUGUGUGGCUGAAGAAAGGACGAGACUCGGAGGGAAGGACCGAAAGGUGCUUCCCUGGGUUCUGCUCUGAGGAGGAGUUUCAGAGGCUCUACAGCCUCUCCAGGUGACACUUUAUCCUUCUCUCUGAAUAUUCCUUACUGAAAUGUGAAUGUGGUGGUCCCUGCCAAGGGAAGUCUCCUCUUUCUCUGUUGCAGUGUCCUUUUACACCUGAUGGCUGCUAUCACAUCCCUGUGCCAUGUUUUAAGAUGACCAGCUGCAAUUUAUCCACUUUCCCUGCGGUCUCUUUGGCCACUGACUGCCUACAGCUUUCUGGUCUCUCCUCAGCCGGUGUCUGCAGGCUGUGCCCCAGCCUCUGUGCAUGCAGGGGGUAACCGUGCCUGCAAAAACAAUUCCUCUCAUUGCUUUUCAGUCACAUUCUUUGCUUUCCAAGCAACUUCUUAGGAUUAUUUUGAAUUCUUAUUUCAUCCUCUGAUGUGUUUGCAGUUGCUCCCCAGUUAAUGCCAGCUUGGAAGGCUGCUAACAAAACACCCCCUUUGGAACUGCAUUUAUAAUCCACCCUCCUGCUUGUAAACCACUGACAAUGCUAUUACCAAACUUCUGUAGCCCUGCCCAAAUUUUUCAAAUAAACUCAACUACCUUCCUCGUAAGCACGUGCAUAGAGCCUAACCAAGGCACAGAUGAGUGGAGUACACUCUCCCCUCUUCCAUAACAUGGUCUGCUCCUCAUUGCCAAGGGAAAUUUGGCCAGAUUGUCCCAGUUUCUAGCUGACAAAUUCAUAUUAAUAGUUGGUUAUCCUAUUGUUUCCUCCUACCUGUAUACAAAUUGUGUGUCUUUUUGUACUAGAUGUUUUCUGGGGCUAAAAUCUGGCUUAUUUAUUUCUUUUCAAAUGCCACUUUUAAGGACAGUCAUCAGUUUGCUUAUUUCUUGGCCAUCUUCCCUGGAUUCUCAGAGAUAAAUACUAGUGUUUCCAGCGCUGCUUGAGACACUUCCUUCACUACCCCGACAUAAAGUGCAGCCAGAAGUACUCUCUUGUAACUGGUUCUAUCCCAGCUUGGGCUGAAGCCUUAUUCCCUAGUCAUUAAUGUGUAUUACACCAGUCACCUGAUCAAAAGUGACCUCUUUUAGCCAAGACUGGUGCAAAGAAAGCCUGAGGCAGUCUGGGCCCUCUCUGACAUCAGUCGAUAGCUUUCUCUCUCUGAUGAGUAAGCCACUUACUUUUGACUUCCUCUUACCAUUGAUGUACUUACCAAGUGAUUUCUCAUUACUUAGGAUGUUCUUGCUAGUUUAGUUUUAUUUCUGGUAUUGGCUUUUUUUUUUUUUUUUUGUGCUUGUCCUUACCCAUUCCUGCCAAGCAGCACUUCUGCACUCAUCCCAUGGAAAGAUCUGCUCUCUCUGUGCUUGCUUUUUGUGAGCUCAUCAUUAGCCCAAUUGCCUGCUUCCUAACAUACAUAAAUUUCUUCUGCAACAUGAUUGUUUGUGACAGGUCUUCUAGAAAUUCACAGCUGCCACUCACUCAAGAGGAAAUACUUUGUCAUGGCUUGGGACUGACAGACUGAAAUGUUGAGGGGAAGAGAACUUUAGGAAUGGAGGUCUCACGCUGAAGUUCUGAGAAAAGAGAAAUUUGACUGAAGAAAGCGAAGAAUUGAAAACUGGGGAGAAAUGAGAGGGAAAAGAAGAGCCCUUAGAGAAGCAAGUGGCGUAGCAGAUCUGUAGGAAGAGAAUGAAGUCAUACAGCACAAUGAAAAGCCUGUAAUGAGAGGUUACAACCCUUACUCAAACUGAUCAAACAUUUUCAUCCCAAGCACCUUUUCUGGGCUGCUUCUACAUCCUGAGUUUUUGUUUGGAACUAAAAAAUUUCAAAGGUAGCAUAUUCCUGAGGGUUAUGUAUUUUUACGUAGUAGGAGUUCUGCCCUGGAAAUAGUGAUCCUCAAGAGACUGUUUUUGAGUUGGAGAAGGUUGCAGACAAAAGAGGAAAGAAAACACAUUUCUAGGAGCUAAGAAAUAAAUUUUUGAUGAAGUAAGUACUACUGAAGCAAAAUGCUAUGGAAAAAAAACCAACUUUCAAAUAAGAAAAAUGCCUUUAUAUAUUCCUGUGAAAACUGGUUUUGGUUUAAAUGAGGAAAUAAAAAUCGUUUCAAAGGAAUAUUCCAGAUGUGUGGUAGACCCUACACAUGAACAAAUGCUGAAGCUAAUCACCAAGAUUCUUUCUCUUGAGCAAGUCUUAAUGAGGAGCUACAUUUUGUGAUCAAGGUUUCUCCAGCAGUGCCUCUUUGAUCUCAGAGAGAAGAAGCAGGAUAUCUGGGGUAAUCCUUCACAAAAAUACAAAAAGAUACAGUUUAAAAAAUAAGUUGUAUUCAAGAAGAGAACAAAUCAAUAUAUUUUGAUUUAUUUCAUCCAGCUUCAUGGAGUUAUAUUAGAAAAAUUGUGCACCAUUAUAACCUGGGUCAUCAACUGUUUGGGGUGGAGGAACAGAGAAGGUGACUAUGACCUACUCUGACAGGAGCAGUUUGACUGCCCUGUUGCAGAACAAACAUCCUGUCUAUUGGCACCCACCGCAGCUCAAGAGGGUUUCAAGCCAGAACCCAGAGAAAUAUUAUCAUGAUUACACAAAGGAAGGAAAAAAAAAAUCAAGCUCUCUUAGCCUUGGCAUUAAUAUUUUCACAUUCCUGGAAGGCCAGCCACAGUACUUUGAAGAACUCCUGGCAUAAAUUCCUGGUUUAUGUGGAAUUUGCAGCAGCUUCAUUCCAUAGCAACAACCAUAGCUAUAUUUUAUUGUUUUAUGGGAUGCAUGCUUCGUUGCCUUUUUUGUCUAAAGGAGUCUUGUACUGUAGAGGUGAAAUUAUGACAGUGUAAUAAACCAAAGCUACUUGGUACAAAGUUUGAUUAAUAAACUUACCUAUUGGAAUGAAGACUAUUUAUAUACUGGAGAAAAGCAUGGUGUCUUCAUAGGAUCAUAUGAAAAUUCAAGUUGAAAAGGAUCAGGAGGUCUCUAGUCUCCCCUCCUCUUGAAGCAGAAUUGUCUAUGGGGUUGGAUCUGGAUGUGCAGUGCUUUAUCAAAGUGCUAUAAGGGAUUUUUCAGCUCAGGAGGGUCAGGUGAGAACUGUCAAAGCUGGAUGUUAGGUAAGAUGAACCAAAAGAAAGAAGAAUGAGUUGAAAGUUGUAAAAGGGGCUAAGCCACCUGGGAAAUAGGUAGAAAAGCCUGUGCUUAUUCCAGUGUGCUCUCUUAUGAUCCUGAUUGAACCAACAACACCUGACUUUCACCAUUGUCCUGAUGUCAGCAAACAUUGGUGAAACUCACCGGAAAAAUCUUCUGUCCCUGCUGAUGCUGAUUCAAAAAAGACGACAAUCAAUUAUUUGUGUCAUUUACUCUGCUGGCAGAGAUAUGUACCCCAUAUGGGGAGGAAUGAAGCAGGCAAAGGGUUCCUAUCCCGUCUCCUACAGAUGUGAGCACACUGAGGAAUGUGGAUGACUUUGUAUAUUAUCCUAAAACCAGAGAAAAUUAUUUGUACAGUAAUAGUUGGAAAAAAUCCUAGGUGUUGCAAAGCCAAGCAAUCUGACAUUGGUAAAUGCUGUGACUAAGAUUGCUUGGGCAAUGUCAGUUUGUGCCCUAGAUCUGGUGCACAUGCAUUCUGAUGCAAACUUCAAUGAAUUGUGCAUUAUACUACAACCUAUAAUUACAUAAUUGUGUACA